rnacentral:pre_miRNA from 1 species
AUAAUACUCCCUCCGUUCCGAAUUACUUGUCGCAAGUAUGGAUGUAUCUAGAUGUAUUUUAGUUCUAGAUACAUCCAUUUCUGCGACGAGUAAUUUGGAACGGAGGGAGUACAUU